GCAGAUCCGCCCUCCCCUCCCCUCUCUCGCGCUGGAAACCCCUCCUCCCCUGGGCAGGCCAUGGCGGCGCCGGCGGCCAGAUGACUCCCUCCUCCCCUCCCCUCCCCUACACUCCCCUCCCGUCACCAGGAGAGGAGAGGAGAGGGAGAUCCUGCACUCAGGCCAUGGCGGCGGCGAGAUACGCUCGGGGACAGGAGGACCAUGGCCUGCUCUUCGUCAAGGAGACCGAUGCCAUGGAGCUGCUCCUCAAGGUCCGACCCUGAUCGAGACCGUCGCCAUGCUAGAGGAAAGGCUGCUUCUCUUCCUACCAGAUCCAGGUCGCGGAAGGCUACUUCUUUCCCUCCCAGUCCCAGAUCCAGGUCGGUCGCCAUGGGAGCUUCCUCCGCAUGCUGCGCCGCCGAUAUAGGCCAUAAAAUAUGCGAACGCCAUCCCAGGACAGAGAAAGAGGCACUAUGGACUAGGGAUUACUUGCUGGAUACCAACAACUGAAAAUAUGAGACAUGGAUUGACAUGGAAACAAGAGAAAGAAGAAACAAAAAUAAGCAUUAUAGACUAGAUGAUGAGAACAGUGGUUUCUCUCAGUGCAAUAUACUUAGUUGAUGGAGCAUGCUCCUGGGACAUACCAGGCUAAAGUGAUGUUCCAGAGUACACAUGGAAAGUGACUUGAUGGAAGUCAACGACAUGGUAACAGGGUGAUUGGAUCUUGUGUUCUUUUACGCAAUUCAUUUAUAUGUUCAUUUCAAAUCAGUUAGCAAUGACAUUCAAUGUGGAAGGAAGGUGAAACAACUUAUGAUUUCUAAGUAGGAGUAUAUAUUAUUUCCAUGCUUUGGUUUUACUUUUUUUGGCUUUAAUGGGUCAUACCAGUGUGCAUUGGGAAAAAUUAUUUCAAUCUAAGUGGCAACAGGUUCCAACGUGUAUAUGUAUUAUGUGCUAACACACAUAAGUCCUCAAGUAUAUCAUCCAUCAUGUCACUAACUUCCUGUCCAUGACACACCCAUGCCGCUGCAUGUUGUUAGCACAUUGAACUCCUUCCAUGACUAACUUAACUCCUGAAGCUGUGGCCUACUCUAUUGCCAGUUUCGUAGAGUAUGAUCCUUUAUGGCCCUUUUUAUGAAGUUGGCUAUAUUAUCCUUGAGCUUAGUUUUAUUUGGGAGGAAGAGAGAGGAAGAAAGGUUGAUGACCCACCAUCCAACAGCCAACCCUACCAAACUUGGAAAUGAUAAUAUUAGGCAUUCUAUUACAAGUUAGAAGUACAAUAAAGCAGCAACAUUGUCUAUUCAUUUGCCUACUUGAAUACUAAACAAGAUUACUUCCUCAAUUUUAACAAGGCAUGCUGAUUCACGAAUUUAUAUAUGGGGAAAAUUCGUUAGCUUCUUGAUAUAUUGCUAUAAUUGUUUUUUACGUAUAAGAUCUGUUAGAUAUAAUCUUCAUAUUGUAUAUAUACACGUACUUAAAAAGUACAAAAUAAAGGAAUUUCCAUAGUAGCUUAGUCAAGAGAAAGAACAAGAACUAAUUAAACAAUAUAAUACUCCCUUCAUCUCUGUUAGAUAUAAUCUUCACAUUGUAUAUAUACACGUACUUAAAAAGUACAAAAUAAAGGAAUUUCCAUAGUAGCUUAGUCAAGAGAAAGAACAAGAAAUAAUUAAACAAUAUUACUCCCUUCGUCUGGAUUUUUUUAGUGUUAGAUACAUCCAUUUGAGCGACAAAUAAUUUGGGAUGGGGGGAGUAUCAGGAAAGACAGAUUACGACAGUGUACAAAAUGGAACACCCAUGUGCUACAAAAUGACAUGUCCGCAUCAAUUAUGUACUAAUACCAAAUACUCCCUCCGUUCCUAAAUAUAGAUCUUUUUAAAGGUUCCAACAGAGACUACAUACGAAUCAAAAUGAGUGAAUCAAAAUUCUAAAAUAUGUAUAUAUACAUCUGUAUGUGUUCGUAUUGGAAUCUCUAGACGGACUUAUAUUUAGGAACGGAGGGAGUAGAUUUUAGAACUCAAUUCUCAUAGACAAA